rnacentral:rRNA from 1 species
AUGAACGCUGGCGGCGUGCCUAAUACAUGCAAGUCGAGCGAACAGACGAGGAGCUUGCUCCUCUGACGUUAGCGGCGGACGGGUGAGUAACACGUGGAUAACCUACCUGUAAGACUGGGAUAACUUCGGGAAACCGGAGCUAAUACCGGAUAAUAUAUUGAACCGCAUGGUUCAAUAGUGAAAGACGGUUUUGCUGUCACUUAUAGAUGGAUCCGCGCCGCAUUAGCUAGUUGGUAAGGUAACGGCUUACCAAGGCAACGAUGCGUAGCCGACCUGAGAGGGUGAUCGGCCACACUGGAACUGAGACACGGUCCAGACUCCUACGGGAGGCAGCAGUAGGGAAUCUUCCGCAAUGGGCGAAAGCCUGACGGAGCAACGCCGCGUGAGUGAUGAAGGUCUUCGGAUCGUAAAACUCUGUUAUUAGGGAAGAACAAAUGUGUAAGUAACUAUGCACGUCUUGACGGUACCUAAUCAGAAAGCCACGGCUAACUACGUG